GUGGGGAAUCUUCCGCAAUGGACGAAAGUCUGACGGAGCAACGCCGCGUGAACGAUGACGGCCUUCGGGUUGUAAAGUUCUGUUAUACGGGACGAAUGGUACGACGGCCAAUACCCGUCGUAAGUGACGGUACCGUAAGAGAAAGCCACGGCUAACUACGUGCCAGCAGCCGCGGUAAUACGUAGGUGGCAAGCGUUGUCCGGAAUUAUUGGGCGUAAAGGGCGCGCAGGCGGCGUCGUAAGUCGGGCUUAAAAGUGCGGGGCUUAACCCCGUGAGGGGACCGAAACUGCGAUGCUAGAGUAUCGGAGAGGAAAGCGGAAUUCCUAGUGUAGCGGUGAAAUGCGUAGAUAUUAGGAGGAACACCAGUGGCGAAAGCGGCUUUCUGGACGACAACUGACGCUGAGGCGCGAAAGCCAGGGGAGCAAACGGGAUUAGAAACCCGUGUAGUCC
rnacentral:rRNA from 1 species